GGGCAUGUAGCUCAGUGGUAGAGUGCUUGCCCAACAUACAAGCCACCCUGGGUUCAAUUCCUAGCAUGGCAA
rnacentral:tRNA from 1 species